UACGGAGGGGGCUAGCGUUGUUCGGAAUUAUUGGGCGUAAAGGGCUCGUAGGCGGUUUGUCGCGUCGGGAGUGAAAACCUCGGGCUUAACUCGGGGCUUGCUUUCGAUACGGGCAGACUGGAGGUAUGCAGGGGAGAACGGAAUUCCUGGUGUAGCGGUGAAAUGCGCAGAUAUCAGGAGGAACACCGGUGGCGAAGGCGGUUCUCUGGGCAUGACCUGACGCUGAGGAGCGAAAGUGUGGGGAGCGAACAGG
rnacentral:rRNA from 1 species